CGGGGAGGGCGGCGAGCCGCCAUGCGGAGCCGGCCGGGACGCUUCGUGGACCUGCGGCUGAAGCAGCGCGUUAAGCAGUAUCUUGCAAGUAGUAAAUGUGGCCAGUAUGUUGACAUUGGAAUUCUAGCGUCUGAUUUGCAGAAAACCUACAGUGCAGAAUAUGGACGAAGAAAAAGAAAUGCUUUUAGAAUACAAGUUGAAAAAGUGUUUGGAAUAAUCAGUAAUGAAAAAGAACACGAAGAUUUAGCAGUUUUAGAAGCUGAACAUGUGGCAAAAAGAGCAAGACAACAAGAGAAAAAUGAGACUGCAGGAAGUGCCACAGAUGACUCUGAUUAUGAUGAUUAUCCAGAAGAUCUAUCUACAAAUCAUAUGAACAGUUCCCUGCUGAGCUUGUACAAGAAAGGAAAUCCCGAUUCUGUUCCAACCACUCCAAAAAAUGAACCAAUGGAAACCCCCCCUCCUGUGCGAACGGCACCUCAAACAAGCACCCUCUCAUCAGGAAGAAGAGUUGAAACACGCAUCUCUGAAGGGGGCUGGUUCAUUGAUAAAACUCCAUGUGGAAAGGACUUUUUCAUUGAACUUUCUGAGGAUGGAGAAGGAGACGAAAAGAAGCUGAUUUCUGAGAAAACAACAGAAUUUUCUGUCUUGGAGAGUGAAAGAAAGAAGACAAAGGGUAAGAGAGCAAAAAGAAAAAAAGAAGAAUUUCCAGAUGUAGAUGGAGAAAUUGAUUCCAUCUUACUUAAAGAGAAAGUUAGAAGUAAGGGACCAGAGCUUUACUGCCCUUCAGUGAAGUUUGAGAAUGUAGGAGGCAAUGAUGAAACUUUAAAGGAAAUAUGCAAGAUGCUCAUUCAUGUCCGUCAUCCUGAAGUCUAUAACCACUUAGGUGUGGUUCCACCUCGUGGUUUUCUUUUACAUGGACCACCAGGAUGUGGAAAGACACUACUUGCACAGGCAAUUGCUGGGGAACUUCAGCUCCCGAUACUGAAAGUGGCAGCAACAGAGAUGGUGUCUGGAGUGUCAGGGGAAUCUGAGCAGAAACUGAGAGAAUUGUUUCAGCAGGCUGUGUCCAGUGCACCAUGUGUCCUUUUCAUUGACGAGAUUGAUGCAAUCACCCCAAAAAGAGAAGUUGCAUCGAAGGACAUGGAGCGGAGAAUUGUUGCUCAAUUCCUAACUUGUAUGGAUGAUUUGAAUAAUGUGGCUGCCACUACCCAGGUCCUUGUUAUUGGAGCAACUAACAGACCUGACUCACUGGACCCUGCACUGAGACGAGCUGGGAGAUUUGAUCGAGAAAUUUGUUUAGGGAUCCCAGAUGAAGCAGCAAGAGAAAAAAUUCUUCAGACUUUGUGUCGAAAACUUAAGCUCCCGGAGUCCUUUGAUUUUCAUCAUCUAGCACGGCUGACUCCAGGAUACGUGGGUGCUGAUUUGAUGGCACUUUGUCGUGAGGCAGCUAUGUGCACAGUGAACAGGGUCCUGAUAAAAUCUGAGAAGCAGAAAGGGAAACAUAUACACGCUGGAGAAAACACAGCUGAAGAAGGCAUAGGAGUAGGAACAGACAUCCUGGUGGGAGAAGAUACCAAACAACUAGAACUUCUUCCUAAGGAUGAAUUGCAGAGACUUUUGGAUUUGCUGAAGAAGCAAGACCCCUUGCCUGAGGAGCAGCUGCAGAAGCUGUGCAUUGAGAUGAAUGAUUUUAUUGUUGCACUGUCAUCAGUGCAACCCUCUGCCAAGAGAGAAGGCUUUGUCACAAUUCCUGAUGUGACAUGGGCAGAUAUUGGAGCCCUGGAGGAUGUUCGGGAGGAGCUGACUAUGGCAAUAUUAGCACCUGUGCGAAACCCAGAGCAGUUUAAAGCUCUGGGCCUGACGACUCCAGCUGGUGUCCUGCUUGCAGGGCCUCCUGGGUGUGGCAAAACAUUGUUAGCUAAGGCUGUGGCAAAUGAGUCUGGACUGAACUUCAUAUCUGUGAAAGGUCCUGAACUGCUAAAUAUGUAUGUUGGUGAAAGUGAACGUGCUGUACGUCAGGUAUUCCAGCGUGCCAGGAAUUCAGCGCCCUGUGUUAUAUUUUUUGAUGAAGUUGAUGCUUUGUGCCCUCGGAGAUCUGACCGUGAAUCAGGAGCCAGUGUCCGAGUAGUUAACCAGUUACUCACAGAGAUGGAUGGUCUGGAGAAUCGUCAGCAGGUUUUCAUUAUGGCUGCCACAAACAGGCCUGAUAUCAUUGACCCAGCUAUCCUGCGUCCUGGUAGACUGGAUAAAACGCUGUUUGUGGGUUUGCCACCACCUGAAGAUCGACUUGCUAUUUUAAAGACCAUCACCAAAGACGGCACCCGGCCUCCACUAGAUAUUGAUGUAAGCCUUGAAGAAAUUGCUUACAGUCAACAUUGUGAUUGUUAUACAGGGGCAGACCUUUCCGCUCUAGUGCGUGAGGCUUCAAUUUGCGCCUUGAGACAGGAAAUGGCCCUGUGGAAUACUCAAAGCAAGAAAGGAGAAAUCAAGAUCUCCCGUAAACACUUUGAAGAAGCUUUUAGGAAAGUGAAAUCUUCAGUAUCAAAAAAGGAUCAAAUAAUGUAUGAAGAACUGCAUCAGUCACUGUGCAGGUGAUACAUUUGGACAAUUCCCAGGAGAGACUUAAUUCUACGUUGGUGGAGAGUUUUGUAAUACCUGCGCCUGAUUUCAAGAGACAGAGAAUGUCAGUGAUGGAAGAGACUGAAGGAUAAGCAUGAAUUACAAUUUUGUCCUUAAGAUUUCAAAGACAGAGCCGACGAAUCUCUGAAGGUAUCUGCAGAUUCUGAACUAGUUUCCUGCAUGCUUACAAACCACAGACGACAGAAAGCUGGUUGUAAUUACAGAAAACUAAAGUUAGUGCAAAGCACAAGACAUGCAUUUCCUCCCCUCUCCUUUUAUGGAAGAGGCUUAAGCAGCCAGCACAUUGGAAGCUUGUUCAGGCUACCACUAAAAUGGCACCUACAUGGCAAGCACCAGUACCACCUCCAGCCUACCCAGGAAGGAAAUGGCUUUGAACUGACAACCCACCAGUAGUUCAGAAGAGCUCAAGUAAGCUCAGGUCCGAUUUAGAAACCUUACUUGAAAA